ACAAAUCAACUAUAAUCAUGAAUAUCAUCAGGCUGACUCUGGUGGCUGUGAUGCCGACCCUACUGCUUCUUUUUUCUCUGAUGAUGAGAUUCAGGAAGAGGAAAACUCUGAGCUCCACCACUGAACCAAAUGAACCCAAAGAGACUCUGGAGUUGGAGUCUGGUCCUGAUAUCAGCGUCUCAGCCUUGAUCACUGUCACUGCAGCACAGACAGAAGACGCAGAGGAACAGGAACACUGAGUGUGAAGAUGCAGUCAAACCAGAGGGAGACUCAAUACUUUGCUAUGUAUUGCAUGUAUGGAAGUUUAAACAUCAUGGCAGUUCCCUCUCACUGCUGCAGAGGGCG